UGCGUAGGGUGGGAAUGUGCCUUUGUCUGAAAUGUUGGGUACAUUUGCUCUAUCUGUUGGUGCUGCUGUGGGAAUGGAGUUUUGGGCAAGAUGGGCUCAUAAAGCUCUCUGGCACGCUUCUUUAUGGCAUAUGCACGAGUCUCACCACCGACCCAGAAAAGGUCCAUUCGAGCUUAACGAUGGACUGAAACAGAGAGAGAAGAGAUAAUGAAUCUGGAGGAGAGAAAGAAGAAGAAGAAAAGAAAGAGAGAAAGAAGAGAAGA